GUUAAAUGGGCAGACAGAUUGGAACUUGAGGGCUAUAGCUAAGAGAAAGAAAGUGGAGGCUUGAAGGCUAUAAUUUCUCUUUCUGUGGUGGUAACAAAAUCAGGGGAUACAUGGAGUCAGGUGACUGCAGACUGGAACCAGAGCCGGGAAGAGCAAACUGCACAGAGAAGGACCCCACUCCUCAGGAUGUGCUAUGUGGCAAGAUGGAGAAGUCCUCACUGAAUCCGUUCCACACUCAGUACCCAAGUCCCAAUGCCUGUGACCCCGCUUCCCAGUUGAUUGGAUCCUAGAUUUGACAGUUCCAUGUUUGAUUCUCCUUCCUUCCACUUCUUUACUUUAAAGCAAAACAAAAGAUAAAUAAGUUACCAGGCCCCUGACUUCUGGCCCCUGCUGAGAGCUCAAAGAAGACACUGCAUCUAAAAGAAUACUCAGUGGACCAGAGGCAGCGGUGCAUGCUCUGGCGUGCACUUGCAGUUCUCUGCUUAUAACUUAGCCAUAUCCUUAUAUUCAGAAAAUUAAAUAGAAUCCUAGAAAUGAUAGUAAGCACAGAAAUUGUACAUUGUGACUCAUAUCAAGUGGAAAGCAGGAAGUCCUAAAACUGCCUCCUAGGUCAUCAGACUAGCUAGAGGGUGCCAUCAGCUUAAUUACAGGUUUGCACACUCAGAGAGGAUGGUGUAGAAAUGUUUGAGGAGAAAUACCCUUAUCAAGACACACAUACAGUAAACUGGAAUUACCAUCCAACCUAGACAAGAGUGUGUGUUGAAAUUGCCUGAGGAUAUUGUUCACACAGCAAACUGAUGUCAAUCUCAGAUCUUCUGACAUCUGUAUACAUAUGAUAAUCAACAGAAUUCUGCUGAGAAUUGAGUAUUUUCUUCGGGACACAUCUGCAGCUUCUGUUUACCUUUCUUCCCUGUUCUGAAGGUGUUUGCUCACUUUCCUGUAGUUCUGAUUUGCUCACGAGGAUGCCCAGACAACAGGAAGGUAAGUACAUGCAUAAAUUGUGUUAGACCUUUGGGAAUUCCUUCCUCCGUUUCAGUAUUGUGGUUUUGGUUUUGUUUUGUUAAAAAAAAAAUGGGUGAGAUGAAAGCCCAUUUUCUCAUUUAUAAAUAUCCCCACGAGAACUGGUAGCUCUGUGAGCACAGAGAAGAGGCAUGGCAGACAACCGAUACAUCCCAUCUUUAGAAGUAUUGGCAGGUUUCUGUAGGAAAUACAGUUUAUUCUGGAAGACAUGGUUACCAUAAUUU
rnacentral:lncRNA from 1 species